rnacentral:rRNA from 1 species
GGUAGUGGGGGACAACGUUUCGAAAGGAACGCUAAUACCGCAUACGUCCUACGGGAGAAAGCAGGGGACCUUCGGGCCUUGCGCUAUCAGAUGAGCCUAGGUCGGAUUAGCUAGUAGGUGAGGUAAUGGCUCACCUAGGCGACGAUCCGUAACUGGUCUGAGAGGAUGAUCAGUCACACUGGAACUGAGACACGGUCCAGACUCCUACGGGAGGCAGCAGUGGGGAAUAUUGGACAAUGGGCGAAAGCCUGAUCCAGCCAUGCCGCGUGUGUGAAGAAGGUCUUCGGAUUGUAAAGCACUUUAAGUUGGGAGGAAGGGCAGUAAGCUAAUACCUUGCUGUUUUGACGUUACCGACAGAAUAAGCACCGGCUAACUCUGUGCCAGCAGCCGCGGUAAUACAGAGGGUGCAAGCGUUAAUCGGAAUUACUGGGCGUAAAGCGCGCGUAGGUG